ACCUUAUCAUAUUUGCAACCUGAUGAAGAGAAGGAACAUACAAGCAAUCACUGCCUAAUUUCAAAAUAGAAAACAGAGUUGAAUGGACAAGAUGAAAUAUAAAGCAUGUAGCCACGUCUUAAAAUAGAGAAGAGACUGAUUUAUGAAGAAAGAUCAGUGGAUUGAUCAACUUGAACUGAUCAAUCCACAUAACAUAUGAAAGUUGCCAACUUCGAUUAAUGAGUUUGAGAAUAACUUACAUAUUGACUAAUCAGCA
rnacentral:misc_RNA from 1 species